CCCUGGCACUGCCCCUACUGUCUGGGGCUUCAACUAUAUUUCUCCUCUAGGAGCCACGAGGCAAGCCUGCCCAGGCAUUGAUUUUCUCCUCUGUCCCUCGCCCUCAGUUGUUCUUAGUUGACUCACAAAAAGCUAUGUGUUAACUGCUUUUUCUUCAGAACAAGUGAAAGAGAAACAAAAUAAAAUGAAUCACAAUCACCUCAGAAAAAAAGGCACAUGAUUUCAGGGAAACCACAGGAUACACACGGGGGAAGAGCAGGAAGCAAACUCCCUAGUCUGUUUCUGGGUCAGACCAGCCAGAGCAGGAGGAGAGAGGUUGGUUUGCUUCUCAAGGUGUGAGCUCUGAUUUUUUGAGAAGAUGAUGGAAAAAGGAAGUUCCACACUCAGGCUCAUUUUAGUGAGAUUCAGCCAGGCCUGGCCAUGCCCAGCCACCAGUUACUGGGACAAAAACAGGACUGUGGUCAUUUCCCCCAUUGACAGGGUGCACCCAGGACAACUAAGGGCCUAUAAGGGGCCCACUGCUUCUCCCUGGGCUAAGACCCCAGGACACAUGGGAUGGGGCAUCUCAAGCGACAGGCCAGGAGUUCUCAGAGGACCCAGGUGAUAGGGCCAGAAACAGAAUAUUGGGGACCAACUGAAAUUGUAAGUAUUAAUCAUGCUCUGUUAACCAUGAUUGUUUUGUUCUGAUGAAAGAAGGCACAUUCUGACCUGGCUGGGAGCUCACCUGGAAAUGCAGCCCAUCAUCCCCACCAGGGAGCUGCCUAUUAUCAUGGAGAGAUUAACAGCCUAGUUGUAGAAACCAGAGCCUGGAGCCCUUCCCAUAUCACCAGCCCUUUGAAGACCCCCAGCCUUUGCAGAUGCUCAGGCCUUUGCAAAUCUCCAGCCUGUGUUACCUGUAAACUGCCCACUUGGCAUACCCUUGCCUACUUCCCCAGGUAAUCUUUGUCCUUCUACCCAAUAUAAGCAGCGGGCUUACGGUGAGGUGCAGAGCAGAUGUUUGGGGAUGACCUGCUGCUCACCAACGCUGCCAGCAGUACUGGAAUAAACGCUCUGCUGAAUUGGCUCAGGGAGUGACAGCAGCACGGACCCCCUGAUUGUCCGGUUACACAGGACCCCUCAGCCUCCAUCCCCAGCUGGGGUGUCAGAAGGGCCACAUCCCCCAGAGCCUGAAGGACCCUCUACAGUGUGCCCAACUCACCCUGGAGGGAGCGGUCUGAACUUCCUGGCCACAGGGCUCGGUGCACUUCUGUUAGUCGAUGGCCCAGUGGCAGUAGGACUCAUAGGAAUCGGCCUCUUCUGCUUGACUAAGGCCAGUGAAAACAAGGUCCAAAAAAUGCAUUGACAGGAAUCCUUUCAAUCCCCUGGCCAGAAGGAGAAGGCUCCACCUUCCUGGGGAACGUGUGAAGCAACAGGCUAUGCACAGUUUAAUUUUGAUUAUCAACAAAGUCAACUUUUGAGCAAAAUAAAAAUUAAUUAAAUACACA